UACGUAGGCAGCAAGCGUUGUUCGGAGUUACUGGGCGUAAAGAGUGCGUAGGUGGUGCCCUAAGUCUGUUGUGAAAUCUCCCGGCUUAGCUGGGAGGGUGCGGUGGAAACUGGGGUGCUUGAGUGUGGGAGAGGUAAGCGGAAUUCCUGGUGUAGCGGUGAAAUGCGUAGAUAUCAGGAGGAACACCGGUGGUGUAGACGGCUUACUGGACCACGACUGACACUGAGGCACGAAAGCGUGGGUAGCAAACAGG
rnacentral:rRNA from 1 species